CUCGGGAGUAGCCUGACAGGACAGCCUUGCCGGGCAGGAUGCUCUAUGCUGGACAGGAAGCGACUAAACCAAUGACAUUCUCAAGGAGCUUCAAUACUUCCAAGAGUCAGAAAUCAAGAGAGUGAUAUGGAAGCCAAAGGCACACAGAGAAAACUCAACAUGCGGAGGUCAUAAAACAGCAGAAACCACAAGUCACAGAGAAGAGUGGAAACAGAAGACACUCAGUAGCAGGAAAGCUACAAUCCCUAGAGAGACUGAGGAAGGAUAUGCUUAUUCAGGGCUAUGACUGAGUCUCGGGGGACAAGAAUAAAAGUGGAUUUAAACUUGAUUACCUUUGUGAAGAUCCUAUAGCCAAAUAAGGCCACACUGCAAAGUAGUGGGGUUUAGGACUUCAACAUAUGGAUUUUGAGGUGGCAAAAUUCAACCCAUAAUAGUGUCCAACAGUCAGUGUGACUGGUAUCCUUAUAAAAAGGGGAAAUUUGGAGACAGUGUGCUCACAGGAAGAACGCCCUGUUAAGAUGAAGGCAAAGAUUGGGGUGAUGCAUCUAUAAGCCAAGGAACCCCCCAAAUUGCCAGCAAACUACCAGAAGCUAGCGGAGGGCCACAGAGCAAAUUCUCUCUUUCACAAUCCUCAGAAGGAAGCAACCCCAUUGACACUUUGAUCUCAGACUUCUAGCCUGCAGAACUGAGAGACAAUAAAUGUCUGUUACAUCCCCAGUUUAUGAUACAUGGUUAAAACAGCCCUAGCAAACUAACCCAGGCACGGAGCGCUACCGUUGAGUGAGAAACAUCUGCUCUGUUCCUUGAGGCUGACUAUUUGGCUACUGAAAGGCUUUCUGUCUUCUAUCCUCCCGCUCAUGUAUCCCCACAAUAACUCCCAUAACCUCAGACAACCCGAGCCUGUCUGCUCCCUGGAAGCUGAAAGAACUUCAGUAACUCAGUUGGAGUGCAGGCAGCAGUGUUUGGGAAGGAGUAAAUGAAGCAGUUGGAAGCAAAGAAGCUGCUGCUUUGGGAUCCGCAAAUCAGAGGAUCAGGAAAUGUGAAACAACUUUCCUGACAGCUUCAGGGAGUGACAUCCAGGCAGGAACUCGGCGGCUUGGCAGAGCUGGAGGAGGAUAGCAGCCUGCAUUCACUGGAUGCCUGGUGUGAGGAAAGAACUGGCACAUGUCCUGAUUCAGCCAUCUGUGCUUCCUCUCCCCACCAAAGUGAAAAUGCAUUCAAACUAAAUUAUUUUGAAAACACAUUCUCUCCAUUCAAGUUCUACUUCAAGACCUCACAAUAGAGGGCACCUCCACGAUCUCAUUCCUGGCAGCACUUGAAUGGGGGCUGCUGAACAAUACACUCUCAGUACUUGCUCAGAAAGAAAGACAAGACUUGGGACGAAAACAGGUGAAAGCUCUUCCGAGAUUUAGAGAGACAGGACCCGGUGCCGAAUUGCUUUCCAGGCGGUCAAGCCGCAUUGCUCAUUACGUGGAGUGAAUGGGAUGAUUCCAAACCAGCCCUGGACGAGGUGGCAACGCUCUUUUUCCAACCUGGAAACAGCCCAUUCAGUCAAUAACUCACCUCCAGUGCCUUUUCCUAAAGCAUUUACAGUCAGGAGAACAAAUUCAGAUACCCCAGAAAAUCAAGAAGUCAUGACAAUUAAAGAGUCCUGUACCAGCACAUCCUGUCUUCACUGCCUGCAAAGCUCACCACUCUCUUCUCCAUCCACAAACUCCCAUACUCCUUUGAAGCAGCAGCUGAGCCGCCACAACCUCGAGCCUCUCUCCUGAUCACAGCAUCACAUAGACAAGGCUUCAGUGGAACCAUGACAAUUAGAAUAUUUAUUGAUUGCAGCACUUACAAAAUUUGAAAUAUUUGAAU
rnacentral:lncRNA from 1 species